rnacentral:rRNA from 1 species
GUUUGAUCAUGGCUCAGAACGAACGCUGGCGGAAUGCUUAACACAUGCAAGUCGAACGAGUACUUUUUACGAGUGGCGGACGGGGGAGUAACGCGUGGGAACCUACCUUGAGGUAAAGAAUAACUACAGGAAACUGUAGCUAAUACUUUAUGUGCCCUACGGGGGAAAGAUUUAUCGCCUUUUGAGGGGCCCGCGUCAGAUUAGCUUGUUGGUGAGGUAAUAGCUCACCAAGGCUAUGAUCUGUAGCUGGUUUGAGAGGAUGAUCAGCCACAUUGGGACUGAGACACGGCCCAGACUCCUACGGGAGGCAGCAGUGGGGAAUCUUGGACAAUGGGGGAAACCCUGAUCCAGCAAUUCCGCGUGAAUGAUGAAGGCCUUAGGGUUGUAAAGUUCUUUUAGUAAGGAAGAUGAUGACGGUACUUACAGAAAAAGCUCCGGCUAACUCCGUGCCAGCAGCCGCGGUAAUACGGAGGGGGCAAGCGUUGUUCGGAAUUACUGGGCGUAAAGAGCGAGCAGGUGGUUUAUUAAGUCAAUUGUGAAAGCUCAAGGCUUAACCUUGAAAUUGCUUUUGAAACUGAUGAACUAGAGUUUGGGAGAGGAUAGUGGAAUUCUAAGUGUAGAAGUGAAAUUCGUAGAUAUCAGAAGGAACAUCAAUGGCGAAGGCAGCUUUCUGGACCAAUACUGACGCUGAGGUACGAAAGCGUGGGUAGCAAACAGGAUUAGAUACCCUGGUAGUCCACGCCGUAAACGAUGAUAACUAGCCGUUGGGGGGAUUUACCCCUUAGUGGCGAAGCUAACGCGUUAAGUUAUCCGCCUGGGGAGUACGGCCGCAAGGCUAAAACUCAAAGGAAUUGACGGGGACCCGCACAAGCGGUGGAGCAUGUGGUUUAAUUCGAUGCAACGCGAAGAACCUUACCUGGUCUUGACAUCCUGCGAACUUUCUAGAAAUAGAUUGGUGCCUUCGGGAACGCAGUGACAGGUGCUGCAUGGCUGUCGUCAGCUCGUGUCGUGAGAUGUUGGGUUAAGUCCCGUAACGAGCGCAACCCCUAUCCUUAUUUGCCAGCACAUUAUGGUGGGAACUAUAAGGAGACUGCCGGUGAUAAACCGGAGGAAGGCGGGGACGACGUCAAGUCAUCAUGGCCCUUACGACCAGGGCUACACACGUGCUACAAUGGGAAGGACAAAGAGCCGCGAAGCCGCGAGGUGUAGCUAAUCUCAUAAAUCUUUUCGUAGUCCGGAUUGGAGUCUGCAACUCGACUCCAUGAAGUCGGAAUCGCUAGUAAUCGUAGAUCAGAAUGCUACGGUGAAUACGUUCCCGGGUCUUGUACACACCGCCCGUCAUACCAUGGGAGUGGGUUGCACCAGAAGUGGCUAGUCUAACUUUGUGAGGACGGUCACCACGGUGUGAUUCAUGACUGGGGUAAAGUCGUAACAAGGUAGCC